CACGCNGUAAACGAUGAGUGCUAGGUGUUAGGCCCUUUCCGGGGCUUAGUGCCGGAGCUAACGCAAUAAGCACUCCGCCUGGGGAGUACGACCGCAAGGUUGAAACUCAAAGGAAUUGACGGGGGCCCGCACAAGCGGUGGAGCAUGUGGUUUAAUUCAAAGCAACGCGAAGAACCUUACCAGGUCUUGACAUCCCGAUGCUAUUNUUAGAGAUAGGAAGUUACUUCGGUACAUCGGAGACAGGUGGUGCAUGGUUGUCGUCAGCUCGUGUCGUGAGAUGUUGGGUNNNNNNNNNNNNCGAGCGCAACCCUUAUUGUUAGUUGCCAUCAUUAAGUUGGGCACCCUAGCGAGACUGCCGGUAAUAAACCGGAGGAAGGUGGGGAUGACGUCAAAUCAUCAUGCCCCUUAUGACCUGGGCUACACACGUGCUACAAUGGUCGGUACAACGAGUUGCGAGCCGGUGACGGCAAGCUAAUCUCUGAAAGCCGAUCUCAGUUCGGAUUGGAGGCUGCAACUCGCCUCCAUGAAGUCGGAAUCGCUAGUAAUCGCGGAUCAGCACGCCGCGGUGAAUACGUUCCCGGGCCU
rnacentral:rRNA from 1 species